AUGAAGACGGAGAUCAUGUGGAAAAUGUUGCGUACACUGACGGCUAUGAACAAGACUAUGACUGGGAUGGAGAGUAUUAUGAGCAAGACUCGGCAGCUUAUGAUGACUGCAGACCCAAGAGGAAAUCCAGCAGUUCACCUUCACCUCGUCCAAAGAAGAGGAAAAAGAAGAAGGCACGAAGACACAGCCGAGACAAGAGGAAGAAAAGCGGAAAGAAACACAAAAGAGACAGGUGUGUAUGUGUGUGUUCAUUCACACAGGUGUGCAUCAUUCACCAGUCCAUUAGCUCUGAUCUUCCUGCCAGUAAUCAUCAAUCUGUCCCUCAGGGAAUGUGUUGAAGAGCACACUGUAAUGUAGCUAUGCAGUAUGCUAAUUUUCUGCAUUUAUCACUUCUGUACUUCAAGCAACCCAAAGUGUCAUUGUAUUAUAAAUGAGUAACCAAAAUGCAUGAAAAGAUUUAGUUAAAAGUUUCAUGUCAUAUAAAUACACUCAUCGGCCACUUUAUUAGGUACACCUGACUAGUACCGGGUUGGACCCCUUUUGCCAUUAGAACUGCCUUAAUCCGUUGCUGCAUAGAUUCAUCAAGGUACUGGAAAUAUUCCUCAGAGAUUUUGCCCCAUAUUGACAUGAGAGCAUCACACAGUUGCUGCAGAUUUGUCGGCUGCACAUCCAUGAUGUAAAUCUUCAAUUCCACCACAUCCCAAAGGCGCUCUAUUGGAUUGAGCUCUGGUGACUGUGGAGGCCAUUUGAGUACAGUGAACUCAUUGUCAUGUUCCAGAAACCAGUCUGAGAUGAUUCACGCUUUAUGACAUGAUGUGGUAUCCUGCUGGAAGUAGCCAUCAGAAGAUGGGGACACUGUGCUCAUAAAGGGAUGGACAUGUUCAGCAGCAAUACUCAGGCAGGCUGUGGCGUUGACAUGAUGCUCAAUUGGUACUGAUGAGUCCAAAGUGUGCCAAGAAAAUCUCCCCCACACCAUCACACCACCACCACCAGCCUGAACCGCUGAUACAAGGGAGGAUGGAUCCAUGCUUUUAUGUUGUUGAUGCCAGAUUCUGACCCGACCAUCAGAAUGUGGCAGCAGAAAUGGAGACUCAUCAGAGCAGGCAACGUUUCUCCAAUCUUCUAUUGUCCAGUUUUGGUGAGUCUGUGUCAAUUGUAGCCUCAGUUUCCUGUUCUUAGCUGACAGGAGUGGCACCCGGUGUGGUCUUCUGCUCCUGUAGCCCAUCCGCCUCAGGGUUGGACGUGUUGUGCGUUCAGAGAUGCUCUUCUGCAGACCUCGGUUGUAGCGAGUGCUUAUUUGAGUUACUGUUGCCUUUCUGUGAGCUGAACCAGUCUGGCCAUUCUCCUCUGAUCCUCUGAUCAGCAGUUUCUGAAAUAGUCAGAGCAGCCCGUCUGGCACCAACAACCAAGCCACGUUUAAAGUCACUUUAAUCCCCUUUCUUCCCCAUUUUGAUGCUCAGUUUGAACUGCAGCAUAUCAACUUGACCAUGUAUACAUGCCUAAAUGCAUUGAGCUGCUGCCAUGUGAUUGGCUGAUUAGAAAUUUGCGUUAAUGAGCAGUUAGACAGGUGUACCUAAUAAAGCGGCCGGUGAGUAUUAUAUUAUAUUAUAUUAUAUUAUAUUAUAUUAUAUUAUAUUAUAUUAUAUUAUAUUAUAUUAUAUUAUAUUAUAUUACUUAGUCUUAGUCCCUUAUUUAUCAGGGGUCGCCACAGCUGAAUGAACCACCAACAGUUCUAGCAUAUGUUUUACAUAGCGGAUACCCAUCCAGCCACAACCCGG
rnacentral:lncRNA from 1 species